rnacentral:rRNA from 1 species
CAGCAGCCACGGUAAUACAGAGGGUGCGAGCGUUAAUCGGAUUUACUGGGCGUAAAGCGUGCGUAGGCGGCUUUUUAAGUCGGAUGUGAAAUCCCUGAGCUUAACUUAGGAAUUGCAUUCGAUACUGGGAAGCUAGAGUAUGGGAGAGGAUGGUAGAAUUCCAGGUGUAGCGGUGAAAUGCGUAGAGUUCUGGAGGAAUACCGAUGGCGAAGGCAGCCAUCUGGCCUAAUACUGACGCUGAGGUACGAAAGCAUGGGGAGCAAACAGGAUUAGAUACCCCUGUAGUCCCCUGUCUCUUAUA